CCCUAUUAUUCUUAGGAGAAGAAAGGAGUAAGCGGAUUAAGUAAUAUAAAGUAAAAAACAUGGCGGUUUUCUAUCAUAUUAGAGAGACAUGUGUUGGAAACGAAUUUGCACGAAAGACUGUUCUUUUUUUUGAGACUAAGGCAAAGGUAACACUCAUUUUACAUACCGCUGUCUGAAAGAUUUUUCAAAAGAAAAUAUCUUAUAUCAAGUUAUGAUGAAAUAAGGCAAGUAAAGGUGUAGACAAUGAAAAAGAAAACAUGUGUUUCAGUUUAAAUAAUGGAAAACUUUAAAAUGAAAUUAGUUGGAAACAGAAUUUAACAGUAAAGUUGGUUUUAUUAAGUCAAUUUGAACAGGAAAUGGAAAGUGUACACAUCGCCC
rnacentral:rRNA from 1 species